AUUGAACGCUGGCGGCAUGCCUUACACAUGCAAGUCGAGCGGCAGCGCGGGGGCAACCCUGGCGGCGAGCGGCGAACGGGUGAGUAAUACAUCGGAACGUGUCCUUUCGUGGGGGAUAACCAGUCGAAAGACUGGCUAAUACCGCAUGAGAUCGAAAGAUGAAAGCGAGGGACCGCAAGGCCUCGCGCGAUUGGAGCGGCCGAUGUCGGAUUAGCUAGUUGGCGGGGUAAAAGCCCACCAAGGCGACGAUCCGUAGCUGGUUUGAGAGAACGACCAGCCACACUGGGACUGAGACACGGCCCAGACUCCUACGGGAGGCAGCAGUGGGGAAUUUUGGACAAUGGGGGCAACCCUGAUCCAGCCAUGCCGCGUGUGUGAAGAAGGCCUUCGGGUUGUAAAGCACUUUCGGCCGGAACGAAAUCGCCCGUGUUAACAGCGCGGGUGGAUGACGGUACCGGAAGAAGAAGCACCGGCUAACUACGUGCCAGCAGCCGCCGUAAUAC
rnacentral:rRNA from 1 species